rnacentral:misc_RNA from 1 species
AAGUCGUAACAAGGUUUCCGUAGGUGAACCUGCGGAAGGAUCAUUAACACGUAUCCAAACGUUAAACAACCCCGUGAACAUACAGCCCGCUCGCAUGGACAAGCCCAGUAAAUCAAGCCCCGGAAAGUUUUUGAUUUGGGACCUCUGUGCGCGUGAGAAAAACUGACAGCGAUUCAUGACCAGUGAAUGAAAGUGUCGCUGGAGCGUCAAGGACGACUCUUCAAGAUUGCUAGAGGUCGACCACCGACCGGCUUCCGUGUAUAACAUCGCUCCCUUCCGAACCCCACUUUAUUGCCUUGCCUUUAAGCAUCCAUACGGAUGGGCAGGCCCCCCGAACAACUGUUAACAAUGGAUAUCUUGGUUCUC